UUCACUCCAUGUUUUCUGCUAAUAAAGAACUUAUAUACGAAGCUUUACGACUUAGUGUUUAUACAUCUUCGUACAUGGUGUCAGAAGUAUGGGAGUGACUCUUCGGAUCAACAUCAGUGGCUAUUUUUUACAACUUUUGACAGUCUUAGCCAUGGCUGAAUCUCUUCGAAAGCCUGACUCACUGGUCUUUGAUGGCUAUAUUGGAGAACGUUGGCUCUUAAAGAUAGCAGAGUCAGGGGAUAUGGGGAGAAGGCAGUAAUGGGGUACUGACUGGGGAUGUCAGCCAUGAUCACAUUAAAUGGUGGCAAUGCUGGUUCGAAGGGCCGAAUGGCCUAACCCUGCACCUAUUGUCUAUCUCUGAUAUCUACACUGCCCCCAAAAUUACUUUCACCAAGAAGUCCCAAUUACAAGAUGUGCAGGUUUGUAGGUCAAUUGGCUUCUAUAUUUGUCCUUAUUGUGUAAGAUAGAACUAGUUUAGGGUAUUUCUAUUGUACAAUAACAGAUCCACUGCAUUCACCAGUACAGUAUUGUACUUCUGUGUUAUACAGGGACACUUUGUUUUCACAUUCACAUUCUAUGUCUCCAUUAAUAAAAUCAAAUAUCAAAAAUAUUUUUAAAAUACAUUUCAAAUUCAUUUUGUGUUGAUUUCUUUCAUCCUGUCCUCACUAUAAUAGUAAGAUUAAACGAGAACUUACCAGUUUGAAGUUUGAUCUUUAUUUUAUGAGGAGGAACGUUGAGGGAAUACGUGAAGAACCCCGCUACGACGCAUGCGUGUCAUUCUUCAAAGCAGCGGUGUGAGGUCACAGAUACACUAUAAUGACCUAAGAUAGUAAGAUUAUUAAAGAGAUACCAGUUUAAGAUAUGACCAUAUGAGGGUGGGAGCGGAGGGCACGUAUUCCCUCAACGUUCCUCCUCAUAAAAUAAAGAUCAAACUUCAAACUGGUAAGUUCUCGUUUAAUCUUACUAUUUUACUUCGGAGUCACAUGAGUGACUUCGUGAAGAUUUCAAAGCUCUGUGACCUCAUGCCGUGGAACGAGUCCAAGCUUCACAACUGCCUUGGUAGUUUGGGAGAAAUUGUUACUGGUAUUCAAGAAAUACAUUCAUACCAACAUUUUAAACAAAAAUGGUAAAUAAUAUUUAUUAAAUCAAUUCAUAAACCUUGUAAGCUUCAGGUAUAAAUUAUAUAGAACUUAAAAUUUUGUUGUAAUCUGUGAAACGUUUUCUCUGAUGACAAUCCUGCAGUUCUGAGGAUUUUGUCCAUCGGUACCUCAAGGCGAUUAGCUGCUGAUGUAGCUGUAGCCUUGGUGGAGUGAGAUUAGAAUACAUUAGUGUCCACUCCUGCCUGAAUUAAGCAGUAUAUCAGCCACCGUGAAAUGGUCUGAGUCGAGACUUUUUGGUACGGCUUCUUAUGGCUAAUCAAAAACCCCUUUCCAUUGCCUCUGAUAGCCCUUUUUCUGUCAAUAUAUAACACAAUGUGUGUCACUACACAGAGGCGUUCGUCCUGCGGAUAGGCUAUGAACUCUAUGACCUGACCCGCUGAUCCUGGUCUAUUUUGCUUAAUAAUGUCCUGGAUCACGAAAAUCAAACUUCCUGUCGCCUCAGUGAAGUUAUCCAAUCGUAAUUUUUGCAAUGACUGGACCCUUUACGCUGUGACCAGCGCCAUUAGCAUUACCAUAUUCAUAGUGAGUUUAUUCGGCGUUAGUGCUGUAGCCGGUGACCAAUUCCAUAACAUGGUUAGGACUACACUCACAUCCCAGAUUUGGCUAUAUCUAGCCCUUGGUGGGUUUGUGUUAAAGAUGCCUCGUAACAGUUUUACUACUAGAGGAUGUGAGCCCACAGCCUGUCUUUCUGUGCCUUCCCAUAAAUAACUCGACAAGGCACUCCUAGCACUAUUGACCGUGCUGUGACUGAGUCCUUCAUAGUGCAGGCUUGUGAGAAAUUCUAGCACAGCUGGAACAUCCAUCUCCCUGUGGUCUAGAUUGUUAUCCAGGCAGUAUUUAGUGCAUUUCUUAAUAUUACAUAAAUACUGUUUUUCAGUCGAAGUUCUCUGUGCUGCUGUGAUCAUGUCCACAAUUCUAUCAGAUAGACCCAUAUGCCGAAGUGGUUCUUUCAGAGUCUACAAACCAAUAAAUUCAGAUAAUUAUGGCAAGGAUGGCUGUCCCCAGUCACCGGAUGCACCAGCAACUGAGGACUAUGUCUUAAAGUAAUAUAUGGUGUUAGCACCAAAUCCUGAAGCACCGAGAACCCUGGUUGGGUAGGCCAAUCAGGUACUAUGAGAAUCCCAGAUGCCGAGUCUAGUUGAAUUUUCCGUAGUACCCGAUUGAUGAGGCAGAAAGGAGGAAAAUGCAUAAAUGAACCAUUUCCCCGAGUGCAGUGAGAAUUCAUCUGUAGCUUCUGCCCCAGGAUCUGGUUCCCAUGAUAUAUACCUUGGUAACUGCUGAUUUAACCUGGAUGCAAAAAAGAUCAAUAUCCAGCAUUGCGUACUUUGCUGUGAUUUCAGCAAAUAUCGUUCUGUCUAACAUCCAUUCCGUAUUUUCAUUAAUUUUUUUGUGACCUGGCGUCUGCCACUGAAUUAACUAUCCCUGGUAGAUACGUAGCCCAUAACCAAAUAUUCCUUUGGAUACACCAUUGCCAAAUUGAAUUUGCCAAUUCAUCACAAGAUGUUGAUAUAUUUCCACCCAUAUGACUUAUAUAUGCCACCACCGAGGUAUUAUCUAUCUACCAUAUAACAUGCUGCAGUUUCAUUCCUGAGCAAUAAGAUUUUUAGCCCAUGAAAUGCACUUAACAUUUCUAAGUACUUAUACCCUUAGUGUUAAGUAGGUUAGCUUCUUGUAUAUUCCAUCUCCCUCAUAGCUCGAGAUGGUAUCAGUUGUACCGUAACCAAUUGCACUGGCAUCUGUUUGUAAUAGCACAGACGGGUUGUGAAUAACUAUUGGGUUGGAGCAAUACUUAACAUUGUGUUCCCAACAUUGUAAUUCUUGUAUAGCUUCUAUCGUUAGCUCCAUUGGCCAAAAUAAAUGGCCUCUAUAAUUUUGAGCACAUUGAACUCUGUGGCUUUCCCUAUUAGUAAAGUCAUUAACAUAUUAAAUGUGUUAAUGGUGUCAAUUUUGACUUAAGUGGAUGGACAAUGAAUUCCAGCUGUUCAAACAAUUGUUUAGUGGCAACCACUGCCUAACCUGCCAAUUCAUAAGUUAUUCCCACAAUAAGGAUAUCAUCCACCUAUGCCAUUACUCUAUGAUUUUUGUGUUGCAGCAGUCCCAAAGCUGGUUUAAAAUUUUUCUCCUGUUGGAUAUUGAAUAGUAAGAAUCUUAAAGAUUAAUACUUGCCAUAAAGUAGCCUGCUGCAAACUAACUCUUUAGUACUGCUAAAAAGUAUCCAUUUUUAAAAUGAAUAUAUUGCACAACAUUGUGAAGCGUUGAUAAUCCAUAAUAAUACGGCAACCCCCAUCUUUCUUAUUUCUAAUAAAGAUGUUUGAGACAAAUCCUGUUGUUCAGGUUUGGUUUAUUCCCUUACCCUUUUAGUAAGCAUGUAUAUCUGUCCGGUUUAUGUUGUACUGGAGGGAUUUGUUUGUGUAGAAACUCUAUCAGAUAUCCCUUAAAAACUGCUAAGGAUAUAUCUGUCCAUAGAUAUAUUACACCAAGCUUCAACAUGAAGUUGCAAUGUCCCUCCAACUUCCGUGCUCCCUAUUUGUUGGAGCCCCAAAUUCACCUACCUCCAUGGUUAUCGGUGGUAACCAAGUAUUUUCUUGGUUUCAUUCGCGGUUGUGGAGGGCCUAAAGGUUUAGGUUAGGAUAGAUGCUGACGUAGAGGCUUUUGCAUCUUCCACAGUGGUCGUCCCGGCCAAAAACCCUAAACAGGACGCUGCUGCUGGGUCCCUGUGCCCAAUUCUUUGUAGUAUAAUUACAAACACUACCUCUCUUAGGAUGCACAUAAGGUUAAUGUCUUCCCCAGAUAUCCUUUGGAUGCUCUAAUCAGGCCCAAAGUCGAGCCUCCUCAUCCAAUUCUUUAACCUGUUUGGACAGGUCUCCCCCAAAUAACAGGUUCUAUAGCCGUUUGCUUACAUAGUAUAGCGAACCUAGGGUCUAGAGCUGGCUGAAUGGCCCUCUUUCUUAUAUAUUUAGUUCAAACUGCACAUUGCAAAAAUAGUGCAAUAGCAUCCUUGUGGUCACUAAUUAUGUCCACCUUUUCUUACCAUGCGGGCCAAAGUUGUUAUGCCCGCCAUGAGACCUUUCAGAGUAUUUUGGAUUUUUAAUAUCCCGACUCCUAAUGGCCUCCCAACAUGUCUGCAAGUGCACCUGUAACACUGGCUACAUUUAAGAGCACCACAAUUUCCCGGGGUAUAAAUGCCUUGCCAACACUUCAGCAAAAGUAUUAGCUUGAAGUUGAUGGGUGGACAUAUAUUCAAUACUCACAGCCAUCCUUCUCGAGAUCAUUCUCAGUGUGUUCCUGCUGGCAGUACUGGCUCAUCAUGUUCAGCAGGUUGUUUUAUCCCACCCUUCAAUAGGGGAAGGUGGCUCCAUCACCUGCUCAGAUUUUACCCCGUCAGACCUUCCAUACCCUCCUCAGAGGCGUCUGAUAUUUCAUGCAGCCCUUAUGGGAAACUGCUGUGGGACUUAUAUUUUUGCCCACUGUGGCUAUCCUCCAAUCCCGGAGCCUGCCACUGUGGAGAAAUUUACUCCAGCCACCGCUCCAGCCGACUUACAUGCUCUCGGGCACUAGUCGUCGCGGGUGCUUUAAUAUAUGGGACCGCUCCUGCCGACCUUGGUGCUCUCGGGCACUAGUCGCACGCGGUAUAUCCCGCAGCCGGUCCCCAUGCCUACGGGCACUGGUCGCUCCCCAUGGUCCCGGUACUCACGGGCACCUCUACCCAUUUAGGGUGAAGUUUGGCACUUGCUCCCUUAUGGGAGAUGCUGGUGCCGACAUUCAUUGCUGCCUGCUGCUGGUCAUUAAACAGCAGCGAUUUCGUGUGGCAGCACUUCAGUUGUAUACUGACAUCAGUAGCUGGCUGCCUGCUGUUCAGCAACACAGCAGCAGCGUCUGUGGCUCUGCCCUGACGUCCUUAGCUGGCUGCCUGCUGUUCAGCAACACAGCAGCAACAUCUGUGGCUCUGCCCUGACGUCCUUAGCUGGCUGCCUGCUGCUCUUCAGAAUACGGCAGCAAACCGCUGUAAAGAAACAAAGGUAAGGGAACUUUGUUCUUACCUGUUCUCAGCCUGCCGUUUGGGAGGAACGUCCUUCCUCCCGCAGCCCCACGGACCCCGUAGCAUAGGUCCUUGGGCUGCUGUCCCAGAUGUCGGCUGACGGCUACAGGAGUAGUCCUGCUCUCUUCCGGGUCCUGCAGCCGCUUCAAUCGGCUCCGGAGCCGCUAGCGACUGCAUCCAUCAUAGACUCACCUGAGUCUGGACACCCCCGGUACGUGUUGCUGCGCUUCCCGCCCGGCAGCAGUCAAUCUUGCCGGUGCGGGGAGCGACGUCGGGCACAGCUGUUUCCUCUCCAAGAAGAUUCGCGUGCCGUCGGCUGCUGCUGGCUGCCCGCUGUCUCCGCGGUUCUCCCCUCCAGCUUCCCGCAGCUUCUUGCAGUCCUACCUGGAAGGUAAGUGGGAAAAAAUUUUGCAGUCUCUUACCUGCUUCCUCUAGGGAGACGUCGUCUCCCACGUCUGACUCGUUCAAUGCAUGUAUGCGAUAUGACACGCAUGCGUCAUAGCGGGGUUCUUCACAAAGUCACUCACAUGACUCCGAAGUAAAAUUGAACUAUUUCUACAUAUUCCAUCUCUGAAAUUCUGAAAAGAUAUUCAUAUUUCUCUCUUUCAAACAAAACCUACCUUGUUGGAUUAGAUGAGUAAUUCAACAAUACUGAUUUUGCAAAUCAAUUACUUUGGAGCUCAUCCACAUCCAAAGACGCGGUGGCCAAGAAGCUCAUCCCGGCGCCUCCCAUACAUUUGCGGUGGAUCAAUAGUGGACAGGCCGGGACGCAGAGGGAGCUUCUAGUGGAAGAUGCUGUUGCAAGGCCACCGUCGGCCCCAUAGGUUCACCGGCCGCUCACAGCCCCCGGCCCGCAACAGGCAUCCCAAGGCCAAAUCCACCAACGCAAAAAUAUCUAAGGUUGCCCGAGGCAGGAAGACGGCGAACAAAUCCAGCCAGAGGCGGCCGCCGGCCAAUGUGCCCCAACGACUGGGGCAGCGAGAAGCCAAAGAUUGGAACAAAAGGGGCACAAAGAGAAAAGCACCUGUGAGGAAAGUGGGCCAGAGAAGAGCGGCUGCUGCCAAACCUUCUGCCCAGAAACGUGAAGAAACUGGCAGCCAAGAAAAUGUUCAGGCAACCUCCUGCCUCCGGAGCUGGGGGGCGGCGUCGAUGGGUAACCAGGAAACGUCAAAUAUUACUCGACUACGAACACAAAAAGAGCUCUUUUCAGAGCCACUCACGCAUCUUCAUCAGGCGAAGUUACUGAAAAUAGGAUUUUUUUUCUCCCAGAUGUCUCAGUCAUAAAGCUAUCCAGCUGCUAGACUUUGUUCCAUCCGGCCCUGCUUUCUAACACCACCCCCUCAUCUCACCUGUUGCAAUCAGUCUGAAAAAGGGAUCUGAAACGAAACGUCCUCUGUCCUUGACCUCCGCAGAUUCUGUUUGACCCGCUGAGUUACUCCAGCACUACAGGUUUGCACAGAAACAUGCCCUUCAUUCCAAUUCACCCAUGCCUACCAAUUUGCCCAACUGAGUUAGUCCCAUUUGCUUGCAUCUGAUCUGUAUUCCAAAAAAACUUUUCUAAUCCAUGUACAUGCCCAAAUAUCUGUCACUCCAAGACCACAGGAGACAGACAAGUGGGUCACAGUUAGGAGGGGCAAGGGGCAGAGGCAGGGACUAGAGAGUACUCCAGCGGAUGUACACCUGGCAAUAAGUACUUCUGUUGGAGUACUGUUGGGGGGGGGGCAGCCUACCUGGGGGCAGCGACAGUGGCCGGGCCUCCGCUACAGAGACCAGCCCUGUUGCAACCUAUAUACUCCAUAGCUGAAAGUGCCAUGGAAGAGAUUGUUGUAGAAACAGAAUAAAUUGGACUUGAAGACAGUGUGCUGGAGCCAUUUAUGUUUAGGCUAGCUACUGUUGGCAUAUGAUAUUAUUUUGUCUAGAUAUUUUUAGCAGUAUUUUUUUGAACACUUGGGGCUGGGCAUUUGAUGCAUAGAAGGGUGUUACAUAUAGCAUAGUGGAAAGGAAGUGACCAGAUCAGUACAGGCAUUAGGAGGUGGAGAGCACACAGUUCUCACCAGAUGGAUAGAACAGAAAGAUACAACUUGUAUGAGAAUAAGGAGAACCUGGUAUGUUCAUUUCUUUGAUUGUACAACUACUUCAAUAAAGAACCAACGCUGGAAGUACCGUCUGGAAGAGCUGUCCUUUUUCGGUCCGCAUAAGAUCGCUCCUACUUACCUGUGUAGUAAUGGCAACAGAAAGUUGGACAUUGGAAAAGUUCGAAAUUGCCAUUACAUUUUUUAUUUUAUUUUUAUUUUUUUAUUUUUUUUUUAUUAGCAGUACAGUAAAUCACAUUAAUACAUCGCAUAUAUAUUAUUACAUUAUGUUGUACCACUUCAUUUUUUGAGCUUUAAAAAAGAUAGAAAUAAAAGAAGUAAGGAAAGUAAGCAAGAAUCGUGAAGGUGCAGGAAAGUGUUGGGAGAAGAGAACCCCUUAGGGAAGGAAUUAGAGAAGGAAGCAAAGAAAAUAAAUAAGACCCUAGAAAGAAAAGAAAAAAAAGAAGAAAGGAAAAUCAAUCGCUCUAUUCUAACACAAAACUCCGCAAAAAAGGAUAUACCAACCGUGUUUUUAUUAAAAAUUUAUUUUAUAUCCCCCAUUACCAGGUCCUGGUAGCCUUUAUGUUUUAACUUAUUAUUGCACCUUAUGCUUGUAAUAGUUCCAUAAAUGCAGACCACGCCUUUUGGAAGUGAUCUGCUUUGCCUGCUAGGAGGAGUCUCAUCUCUUCCAAGUGUAGUGUUUCGAACAUGUUUGAAAUCCACAUUUUUGUUGUUGGUAUUGGAGCAUUUUUCCAAAAUUUAAGUAUAAGCUUUUUUCCGAUUAUUUGCCCAUAAUUAAGUAAGUUCUUUUGAAACAUAUUUAAUUCUGGGUUACCUUCCGAUAUUCCAAAAAUGAUCCAUUCUACUCUGGGUAGAAGUUUUGUUUUAAAUAAUUUUGUGAAGAUUUCAAAUAUUUUGUUCCAGAAUUUUUGGAUUUUUAUACAGAAAACAAAAGAGUGCGCUAUAAAAUUGCCAUUACAUUUAAGUGAGAACUAUCAUUUUGAGUGAAACUGGAGCUUGAUAAAACCCGAGAACAAAGGAUUAUUUUAUUUCACGAGCCCGACGCCAUCUUUCCCGAUCAAUUGGACAAGGUCACCACCUGCGCUAAGCUGAUUCACGAAGGUUGGAAACUUUGAAACCAACGCGCAGGGAAUGAGCCUCGCUGAGAUGCCAUCAACAGCUGAAAAUGCAAGAGGUUGCAGAUGUUACCGGGAUUGGAAGGGAGACAACUGAGCUCUAUCGGCCCCCUUGUGAGACUGACACCUGUCCAAACUCCCGUGAACAUCUGUGGUCCUUUGUCAGAAGUUGAUCUGGUUCCCCACAGAGGUUCUUAGAUACAGACAAUGGUAAGAUCAAUUGUGUGCAUUUUGAAUUUUUAUUAAAUCUUCUGGGUUGCGAUACGCGGGACUCGAUUAGAGAGUCUGCUGGGUUGAGAUAUGCGGGACCACAAAUUGGAGAGUCGGCCAGAUUGAAACACGCGGGGCGAUUCAAUUGAGGUCAGCAGCAUUGAGAAAUUUGGGACUGGUUAAUAAGUCAGCCAGGUUGAGACACGCGGGGCUAUUGUAAAAAUUGGAUAGAGCGAACUAGAAAUGGUUUGUCGUCAAUUUUGCUACUUGAAGUAGUCGGCGAUUGGCUUUGCAAAUGAAAAAAGUUUGUCAUUCAGAAACUUGCCGGGCAGAGAGAAACUCGCGGCUAUUGGGAAUAAUUUCGAUAAAUUUGACGAGGGAACGUCCAUACAACACGUGUAAUUUGAAUUCUAGGACUUUAAAAUAUUAAGUUAUCAGCUAAUAUUAAGUUAUCAGCAUGAGAAUUGAGGCUGCUUAAAAACGUUAAAUCACAAGCUAACAGCCCAUACUGUUUAAACAAACUUGCCUUCGAGGUUUGAAUAACAUUUGGCACAGAGCAGCAGUACCGCGACCUUGCUUGUGCUGAUCCGAGACCGUAUGUGGCAAAGAUCUUUGAUGUGGGUCUUUGUCUGUGGUAAUUAAUCACCUCAGUGGGUGUGGCCAGAAUUUGAAUGAUGGGGAGUCUGAUUGGUCGCCACCUCAGUGGGUGUGGCCAGACUUUGAGUGAUGAGGAGUCUGACUAAUUACGAUCUGGAUCAAUGUCCAAUCACAACGUACAGAAUCCAGACUGACAGGGAAUUGGACCAUCCCACCAUGUUGCCCGUUCAUUACUAACAGAUUUAUGGUAGAAAGAAAUGCUGCCAAAACUCAGUGGACGCGUUUUUCAAACUUAACUCUCUCGCUUCAAAUAAAAGGCUUUAUACCAACAGUGAAAACCUCAGUCCUCCCAAUGCAAUGCCUAUAUAUGUGGCCCGACAGAGCAUCAGUCUCCCUGGGGAAUGCCUGUGCUAAUAAAACACAGACACAGGCAGCUUGUAAAUUAUUUGUAACUAGGAUUCUGGUAAACAGAACAGUCUUGUCAGAAAAAGGGAAGGUAUAUUUCAAAGAUAUGUCUCUAUAGGUGAAAUAUUAUGCACUGCUUGUAAAAAAAAUGUUUUUUGUAUGUGGAAUGUGUGGAAUGCAGCUUACAUUUUGAAGCUAUGAGCAGAUGUGUAUGUGUCCCUUUAAUAAACUGCAAUGUGUCCCUUUAAGAAACUGCAAUAUCAUCUGCUGUAAAUAAGUUAUUUUUAAUUCUUGUUGCUACCAUACACACUAACCAUGUUGAAGUCUUUGACACCUGUGUUUAUUUAAAAAAAAGAGAAUUAUUUUGUAUGUGUGGAAUAUGGCAUACACUUUGAAGUUAUGUGGAAUAUGUGUUUUGGAUCGCGACUUAAGUAAGAAUGAGCAAAUGUGUUAUUUGUUAUAAAUCUUUUGA